ACUAACUCUAAAAAUUGUGAAUUACUUAGCUACAAGCUCAUAUACUUUUGCAGCAUGUAUAAUCUCUAAUUUUUUGACAAUAUUGUACCAUGACAACUAUCUUAAGAAUUUUCAAACUCAAAUCAAGAAGUAAAGACGAAAUUCUUAAAAAUUAUUUACUUGAUUUAAGUAAAUUUUUUUUCUGUGUAUGCAGAUAAAGAGAUGGAGAUACUUGAUGAAUUCUGGCGGUAUUAAAUAGGAAGCCUGGGAAACUUCCUGAAUAUUAAAUGUUGCAAGUACAUAAAAGAGUAAGCGGAGAAUAUCGAUGGACAAAAGAGUCAUGAUGCCUUAGCUUCUGGUUCUGUUUCUGGUUGGUUGGUUCACCUUUUAUUCGAGGAUGGCCUCAAGCUUUUUAUAACAUACUUUUAAAAGUAUUUUUUAUUUUCCCUUGCCCUUGUCUAGGACGAGGCACUGUCGCCAGGGGCGAGCCGACGUGCCCAGAAUUUAAUCCAAUGCCAGCUAAAGCAAACCGCGGUGUAAAAAACCUGUUCACGAGAUCCAAUUCUCAUCUCGUUCACUACAACUACACUCAACGCUCAUCUCCGAAAUAAUAAUCGUGAAAUAGAAGAUUUAUUCUUUCUGGUGUGUAGUUCCAUUACGGGUGUAAUAGCACACUAGAAUAGUACUAAGUAGUGAGUACUGAACAUGGCUGCUUGCUGAUAUACUCUGCAUCGGGUGGAGUGUUUACAUUGGAGCUUAUCAGUUACAGUUACAAUUCGGGUGGAUUUAAGAACCAGCCAAAAUUACGGAGCUGGAUAAAUUGAACGCGAGAAGAGAUGAGAUUCCAAGAAAAUAUUUGAUUUAAUUGUUAUUAAUUGAAGAUCAAGCACGAUUGAAGGAUUCUAGCUAAAUCCAUGAUAAUUUUAAUAAUUUAAGUACACUG